rnacentral:rRNA from 1 species
AGAGUUUGAUCCUGGCUCAGGAUGAACGCUGGCGGCGUGCCUAAUACAUGCAAGUCGAGCGAACGGACGAGAAGCUUGCUUCUCUGAUGUUAGCGGCGGACGGGUGAGGAACACGUGGAUAACCUACCUAUAAGACUGGGAUAACUUCGGGAAACCGGAGCUAAUACCGGAUAAUAUUUUGAACCGCAUGGUUCAAAAGUGAAAGACGGUCUUGCUGUCACUUAUAGAUGGAUCCGCGCUGCAUUAGCUAGUUGGUAAGGUAACGGCUUACCAAGGCAACGAUGCAUAGCCGACCUGAGAGGGUGAUCGGCCACACUGGAACUGAGACACGGUCCAGACUCCUACGGGAGGCAGCAGUAGGGAAUCUUCCGCAAUGGGCGAAAGCCUGACGGAGCAACGCCGCGUGAGUGAUGAAGGUCUUCGGAUCGUAAAACUCUGUUAUUAGGGAAGAACAUAUGUGUAAGUAACUGUGCACAUCUUGACGGUACCUAAUCAGAAAGCCACGGCUAACUACGUGCCAGCAGCCGCGGUAAUACGUAGGUGGCAAGCGUUAUCCGGAAUUAUUGGGCGUAAAGCGCGCGUAGGCGGUUUUUUAAGUCUGAUGUGAAAGCCCACGGCUCAACCGUGGAGGGUCAUUGGAAACUGGAAAACUUGAGUGCAGAAGAGGAAAGUGGAAUUCCAUGUGUAGCGGUGAAAUGCGCAGAGAUAUGGAGGAACACCAGUGGCGAAGGCGACUUUCUGGUCUGUAACUGACGCUGAUGUGCGAAAGCGUGGGGAUCAAACAGGAUUAGAUACCCUGGUAGUCCACGCCGUAAACGAUGAGUGCUAAGUGUUAGGGGGUUUCCGCCCCUUAGUGCUGCAGCUAACGCAUUAAGCACUCCGCCUGGGGAGUACGACCGCAAGGUUGAAACUCAAAGGAAUUGACGGGGACCCGCACAAGCGGUGGAGCAUGUGGUUUAAUUCGAAGCAACGCGAAGAACCUUACCAAAUCUUGACAUCCUUUGACAACUCUAGAGAUAGAGCCUUCCCCUUCGGGGGACAAAGUGACAGGUGGUGCAUGGUUGUCGUCAGCUCGUGUCGUGAGAUGUUGGGUUAAGUCCCGCAACGAGCGCAACCCUUAAGCUUAGUUGCCAUCAUUAAGUUGGGCACUCUAAGUUGACUGCCGGUGACAAACCGGAGGAAGGUGGGGAUGACGUCAAAUCAUCAUGCCCCUUAUGAUUUGGGCUACACACGUGCUACAAUGGACAAUACAAAGGGCAGCGAAACCGCGAGGUCAAGCAAAUCCCAUAAAGUUGUUCUCAGUUCGGAUUGUAGUCUGCAACUCGACUACAUGAAGCUGGAAUCGCUAGUAAUCGUAGAUCAGCAUGCUACGGUGAAUACGUUCCCGGGUCUUGUACACACCGCCCGUCACACCACGAGAGUUUGUAACACCCGAAGCCGGUGGAGUAACCUUUUAGGAGCUAGCCGUCGAAGGUGGGACAAAUGAUUGGGGUGAAGUCGUAACAAGGUAGCCGUAUCGGAAGGUGCGGCUG